rnacentral:rRNA from 1 species
UUUAUGGAGAGUUUGAUCCUGGCUCAGGAUGAACGCUGGCGGCGUGCCUAAUACAUGCAAGUCGAGCGAACAGAUAAGGAGCUUGCUCCUUUGACGUUAGCGGCGGACGGGUGAGUAACACGUGGGUAACCUACCUAUAAGACUGGGAUAACUUCGGGAAACCGGAGCUAAUACCGGAUAACAUUUGGAACCGCAUGGUUCUAAAGUGAAAGAUGGUUUUGCUAUCACUUAUAGAUGGACCCGCGCCGUAUUAGCUAGUUGGUAAGGUAACGGCUUACCAAGGCGACGAUACGUAGCCGACCUGAGAGGGUGAUCGGCCACACUGGAACUGAGACACGGUCCAGACUCCUACGGGAGGCAGCAGUAGGGA